GAGAGAGGUGAAAGAGAGCUUGCUCUCUGGAUCAGUGGCGAACGGGUGAGUAACACGUGAGCAAUCUGCCCCUGACUCUGGGAUAAGCGCUGGAAACGGCGUCUAAUACCGGAUACGAGCUGCGAAGGCAUCUUCUCUCGCAGCUGGAAAGAACUUCGGUCAGGGAUGAGCUCGCGGCCUAUCAGCUAGUUGGUGAGGUAAUGGCUCACCAAGGCGUCGACGGGUAGCCGGCCUGAGAGGGUGACCGGCCACACUGGGACUGAGACACGGCCCAGACUCCUACGGGAGGCAGCAGUGGGGAAUAUUGCACAAUGGGCGCAAGCCUGAUGCAGCAACGCCGCGUGAGGGACGACGGCCUUCGGGUUGUAAACCUCUUUUAGCAGGGAAGAAGCGAAAGUGACGGUACCUGCAGAAAUUUCACCGGCUAACUACGUGCCAGCCGCCGCGGUAAUACGUAGGGUGCA
rnacentral:rRNA from 1 species